rnacentral:RNase_P_RNA from 1 species
UAAGAGCGCACCGCGCGCGCCGGUAACGGCCGCGGCACGGUAAACCCCACCGGGAGCAAGCCCGAAUAGGGACGGCAGGCCACAAGCCAACGCGUUUCCGCGUCGCCGUCCGGGUAGGGUGCAAGAGGCGUCCGGUAACGGGCGUCCCAGAUGAAUGGCUAUCCCCCCUUUGGGGGACAGAACCCGGCUUACAGGUCAUCUGGCAUU